rnacentral:rRNA from 1 species
GAUGAACGCUAGCGGCAGGCUUAAUACAUGCAAGUCGAGGGGCAGCAGUUUUGUAGCAAUACAGAAGCUGGCGACCGGCAAACGGGUGCGGAACACGUACGCAACCUUCCUUUAACUGGAAGAUAGCCCACCGAAAGGUGGAUUAAUACUCCAUAAUAUAUUGAAGAGGCAUCUUUUUGAUAUUAAAGCUCCGGCGGUUAAAGAUGGGCGUGCGUCUGAUUAGGUAGUUGGCGGGGUAACGGCCCACCAAGCCUUCGAUCAGUAGCUGAUGUGAGAGCAUGAUCAGCCACACGGGCACUGAGACACGGGCCCGACUCCUACGGGAGGCAGCAGUAAGGAAUAUUGGUCAAUGGACGCAAGUCUGAACCAGCCAUGCCGCGUGGAGGAUGAAGGCCCUCUGGGUUGUAAACUUCUUUUCUUUGGGACGAAACCCCUGUUUCUACGGGGACUGACGGUACCAGAGGAAUAAGCACCGGCUAACUCCGUGCCAGCAGCCGCAGUAAUAC